rnacentral:rRNA from 1 species
CACGGAGGAUGCGAGCGUUAUCCGGAUUUAUUGGGUUUAAAGGGUGCGUAGGCGGACGCUUAAGUCAGCGGUAAAAUUGCGGGGCUCAACCUCGUCGAGCCGUUGAAACUGGGUGCCUUGAGUGGGCGAGAAGUACGCGGAAUGCGUGGUGUAGCGGUGAAAUGCAUAGAUAUCACGCAGAACUCCGAUUGCGAAGGCAGCGUACCGGCGCCCAACUGACGCUGAAGCACGAAGGCGUGGGUAUCGAACAGG